GAGCGGCGUCACUUCACUACGGAUCGUCCGGCACGUACCUGCCGGUGAAGGAGCAGAAA
rfam:Nocardioides sp. Soil774 contig_6, whole genome shotgun sequence.